rnacentral:lncRNA from 1 species
UUUAGGACGCCAACCGCGCGAAAGUCGUCGUCUGUACUAAACAUUAUUCCGCUGAUGAAGCGAAUCCAUGAAUAGACUGCAGGAGACUCGCGCGAAGGGCUUCCACUUUUGAAAUUCUUAUGAUUAUUUCCAUUCCCCUCCUACUCCAAGGUAUAAACUUGAAUUACAUACUCCUAAAUUGUAGUACAAAACAUGAUCGAUUAUAACCCUAGCGUUUAAUGAGAAUUUAUAACAUUCAAUGUAACUCUAAUUACUUGAGUUGAUGGAAAUGUUUAUCAAAUUACAAUAGUUUUCCAGUUUUGCUAUGUUAGAAUAUGGUGAUUGAAUAAGUUUUUGUGUUUCCAUGCCAUCUUGUUUUAACACGAAACAAACUAAAUUAAUAAUAGAUAAUUUCUAGUGCAUUUAUGCAUUGCAGUAUCACAGUAAGAGGGUGGUUUGAUUAUAUCUAGAAAUUUGUGGAUGAGAAAAUGUUUGGGGAAAUAGUCAAAAACAUCAAAAUAAGAUUGACAUUGGUUAUGUUGCUGUCUUGCUGACAUCUUGAAGAACUCAUACAUGUAGAGGACUUUGCUUAUGAUAAUAUUUUAUGCAGGUAGAUAAUAAGAAUUGCAUUGGUUAUGGUGCUGACAUCUUCAUGAACUGUUUAACACGAUAACCUCUGAUGCAUAUUCUAAGUGUGUAGGCAUCAAAAUGUAUUACCUAUAAUUGCCACAACAUAUAUAUUAUUUGUGUCUACAAAGAAAAGGAUAAGUGUGCACAAUCAUCAGACAAGUAUAGAUUGUCUGCCAUCAAGUUUAUUAAUUAUGUUGGAGUAUUGGACUAUAUACUAAAGAAUAAUAGAAAGGAAAUGAUGGAGUUUUUGCUAACUUAACUGGUAAAGUCUAUUGGACAUCUGCUGAAGCUGUCUGAUUGUAGUGACGAAGUGUUGCGAUUGCAUUCAAUGGUAGGGAUGAGGGCUGUGUUCAAUCUCAUGGCUGACAAUUUGUGCAGAAAUGGUAUCUCUUUUUGACAUCUUAUUCACCUCAUUGUCUAUCCCAGUAGAGAGUAGUGGCAACUUGUUGUCUUCUGUUGGAGCAAUCUAAUAUGGAUGAAAUGACACUCUUUGCUGAACCAAACCACUGAGGUUCACACAAAAAUCUAGGAACAGUAGUGGUUCGGGUUGUAUUGUUUUUUUUUUGUUAUGGCAGUUUUUGUAUUAUAAACCAAAUUGCACCUACCAUGUUUUAAACUUGUUAUCCUGUUCACCUCUAUCUCACAUACAACAGCCACUAAUAUAUCUUACUGAUAUACUUCACCUAGACUGAAUUACUAUUUUCCAUGAUAACAAUAUUAUAUAAUAUUGUGUUAGCAAUUCCCUUUUGAAAAUAUUUAAUAUACAUUCUAUGUUUCUAUACACUGUCAGUGUGAUAAAAUUUACACAAGCGCUAACAAAAUUGCAACAACUCAUUAAAGUAAGGGCAUUUUUGUCCAAACUCCAAACAUAUGUUCAAUGAAUGGCAUGUAAAUUGUCACAAUCCUGCUGUCCACUAGUAUUAAAUUCUCAUAGUCAGUCAGUCAGUCAGUCGGUGUAUAUGAAUGACAAUAGUGAAUCAAUCGAUUUCUCUAUUGUCAGGAUGUAGAUUGUAGGGUUUUCUGCAGAAAAACCAUGAAAUAGGGAUACUAUGGUGAGAUCUGAUGGUCAGCAUGCAUAUCAUCCUCUGUGUCUCAGUGAUUCAUUUAUAAUUUGUAUAUUAAGUAAAAGGGUUUGGCCGAGUUGGUGAAAGGACUUUAUUUCAAAUACCUAUAGCUACAAACACCUAAAGCUUAAAAAGAUGACAACAUAAAUUAAGAUUGAAUUGCUGUAACCAAAAGAUUUAUUGCACUAGUUUCUCUUGAAUCUUGUACAGCUCAAAGUGAAGGAAAAUCCUGAUUGACUUAAAUAUCCAGGAUAGACCAUAGUAGACAGAGGAAAAUAAAUAAGACUCUUCUCAAUGAAGCAAGUCUGUGGAACUUAUGGUGGACUGGUUUGAGGAUUCGGUUCUGAGAUAAGCUGUGUUGCAAGGGACAUCGUCCAGGAUGCCAAAGUAUGGUAGGGACUAUUGAGCUGCAUAUCAGUGAGCAUUUGAUGAAGUUCUGACGUCUCUUCUUUAAGUUGGGCAUUCUCUUGAAGGACCUGAUCAUGGCGCUCAGAAACGUUGUUUAGUUUGUCUAUGAGUUGGUGAUUUUCAUUUCUGAGCCAAACUACCUGUGACCAAAGUUCAUCCAGGUGCUUUUGCUUGCGCAUACGUGAUCGACGUGCAGACUCUCUGUUGGAUAUCAUUCUCCUCUGCUUCCUGUCACUGAUGAGACUUAGUUGUUGCUCAUCUGCUUCAUCAGAAGUUGAGUUACUGCUGAAACAUGUUAGUUGUGGAUUGAAUUCUUGAACUUGAGUAUUUAUCUGAGGACGAUAUAAUGGGUUGGAGAGUCUGCUAAACUCAAAUGUGUGUGUAUUGUUCUGGGUGAAACCAAAAUGAGCAGGGUAUGAAGUUGGAUUAGGUGGAGCUAGAUAAUGAAGUUCAGUGACCUCACUAGACUGCAUGGUUGCGGGGAAUAGAUUUUUUGAGGGAAGGUAUAGUAGAAGAAGUUAGAUUGGAAGGCGGAGGAAAACUUGAGUUGAGGAGGUGUUUUAUAGGAUGGAAAUGGUAAAGCGGUCCCACUUUAUCAAUUCAGAUUAACAGUGGGGCUUUUUAAAGAUCAGACCAUUGCAAUAUGAUGUCAGUCGGCAUGUACUUAUGCAGCAUAGCAUAUAUGUACACAGGUAAACAUAACACAUAAGUUUAGAUAUAGGUGUUCUUUUGUCCUUUAUGGUCAUGUAAUGGUUAGAUGCCACAUGCUUGCAAUGAGACAUUAUCAAUGGCACUUGUGCUUACUUGAGAAAAAUAAGUUUUAUGGUAGAUAAAUUAUGGGAAUAAACAAUGCUGCAGAUAAGAGAGGCAGAGAGAGAGAUUAUCAGUAUCAUUCGUUCAUACAUGGUGAAAAUGAGUUGUACUGGAUUAAUUUUCAGAUCAAAUAGUGGCUGCAUGAGAGAGAGAUAGGGAGUUCAUAUUGGGAAGUAUAGUUCUUUAAAUGAGAGAAUACUUUUUGGAAGAGAAAAGAAAAUAAAAGGAAAUGAGGUUGGAGAAAUUAAUCUUAAAAGCGAUGUUUGCAGAGCCAAGCCAAUUAAGAUUGUUUUACUGUUAGAUGUUAUUUUCAACAACGCAUGGUGACGUAAAGGCAUAGGAGGAAGGAGGUUGGAGAAGGCAAGUCUUUUCUAUAAGUGGAAAAGAUUGUAUAAGAAAUUGACGACUUCAUAAUUACUUUGAUGAGACCCCAACCAAAUAAGUUAUAGUAUACUUGAUCUCUCUUUAUAAUAUUAUGAUUAAUAGAAAUCACAUCUCUUACACUGUUAGGCACACCAUAUUGCAACAUCAUGGUAGGGAGGGGUUUCUUAGUCAUCGUUGCAUUAAAAUAUGCAUAACAUGCUAAUGGCUAGAUUUCCACACCCUUCUCUGGAAAAAUGACAGUAGCAUUUUCCACUGAUUGGCAAGUGGUAAAGUUGGAGUAAAGUUUUGAUGAGAUAUUUUACCAAGAUACAGUGUCACUUUAUUAGGAUGUGCUUGAAUUCAAUGAAACAGACUUCUUUCUUCUGAUGUGGUGUUGAGAAGGCAAAGAAUAAAUGCCGCAAACUAUAGGGAAAUCUGAAACUGCAUCCGUUCUUUAGGUCGUAAAAAAACUGUGUCACAUAUGAAACAGAACAGACCUGUUUAGUGAUUCUCAGAAGAAUGCAUGAUCACUAACUGCAUUGUUGAAUUAGAUAAUGAAAUUGUAGAGAAAUUAGUUAGUCAAUUUCUGGUUGGGUGGCCAAUUGUGAUCUAAAGAUGUUUGAUGUUUCUCACAAUUCACAAAUAGACUAUUAGUUUCACAUGGAAAUUUAUCUCUAGGAUAUAAUAUAAAACUGUUUUCUUCUUUUGUAAGACAAUUGCUAAGAAGAUGAGCAAGUAAAGAGCUUUAAAAGAAAGGAAAAAGUUGAAGAAUAUACUUUAUAAGAAAGAAUAGGGUCUAAAUUUUUAGUGCUUUGUUUAAAGCAAGAAAUCUUUUACAUUAUGGAAUGGGAUAUUUGUUGCAAUAAUUUCUUAAUCCUGAAGGUUGAGAUAAUCUAGUAGUGUUGAAACUCAUUUAUUUUUCCAUGUCUCAAUAGUUGUUCUUUGAGUUAAGCCACGUAUGUGUUAGUAAAGCUUUAUGGAGAGCUAGAUCAGAUAAGUCUGUUUAGUUUGAUCGUAUGGAUUAGGUUUUGUUCUGACCACAAAACUAACUACUGUUCAGGAAUUGGGAAAAAAAACUUGUUAAUAUGAUGGUGGGGAUUAGGAGGGAGGAGAUAUGGAUGUACUUUGAAAUGCAGUCUCCCACUAAUGAAAAGAACUUUAUAAUGCAGCCAGAAGCAGGACUCUAUGGAGGCAAAUGUUCUCUCCCUUCUUCUUGUUGGGCCAAGUUGAGUGGACUGGAUGGUCAACAAUACCAUUAGACAGAUUUGGCUCCUCUUUCUUUUCUUGUCUUUAAGUUGUUCUUUCUGUGUUCUCAUUAUAUUUUUUUGUUUUUGUGUUUUUUUUAAACGUUUUUCGAUAAAGAAGUCUGCAAAUAAAGUAUUAGAGUUUAGAGGUGCGGCUAAUGUAGUUGUAUACAUAGAUUGUUAUGUCCUUUUGUCUUGUGUACCUGUAUAGAUACAUUACUUUUAGAUCCUAUUGUUGAUCCUUUUCUUAUUAUUUCUGGCAACAAGUUGAGAUCACUAUGUUACCCAAAUAUUUAUAUGUAGCUGAAAGUUAACCGUUGAUGACACUAGCUAAUUGAUUGUGCAUUAUGGGAAUUCUUAUUUUUACCAGAGAUAUUUGAUAUUUUCAUAAAACAUCUCUUACAUCAUUGUGGGAUCCACUUACUAUACAUGUGUGGGGGAGAACUUUGUGAAAAUAUUAUUUCCGUUCUUAAAUCACUGAAUUUUAUCAUUGAUUUUGUCAAAGUUUCCAAACACAAUUAAACCUUUUCUUUAUGUUGUUUGGGUCGAAAUCUUAUGAAGUAAUUGGCUAACUCAGUUCUUUAUUAUUCAGUUGAUAUGUCAAACAUGGGGAUUCAGCAAACAUAAUGUUAAGCUUUCCACAUGCCACUGCGGCAUGGAUCACUUUCAACUCGGUGCGACUUGUGGUUGAGUGAAGGGAUCUAAUCUUAUCCUCUGAACCUAAAGUUCCAGGUCUGAUUAAUAAGAUAUUUCCACCGCCCCCUCUCUCUUUUGUUUUCAGUUUGAAAGGACUUAAUAUUCCAUGUUCAUCGAGAAGUAUAUAUGGGACGCGACCAUUUUCAUUUUUUUUGGUGUUAGGCAAAGCUCGGCUUUUUAAAGACGAUUAGAUUACGCUAUGAUAAUAAAAUAACAUUAUGGAUCUACAUUUUUUUACAAGGAUAAUCUAUAUACUAUUAUCUCCGUCUCAGAUAAAAGUUGUAGUUGACUUUUUGCGAGGGGAAUAAAAUGAUAAAAUUAGCCAUA